rnacentral:rRNA from 1 species
AUACGUAGGGUGCGAGCGUUGUCCGGAAUUACUGGGCGUAAAGAGCUCGUAGGUGGUUUGUCGCGUCGUCUGUGAAAUUCCGGGGCUUAACUCCGGGCGUGCAGGCGAUACGGGCAUAACUUGAGUACUGUAGGGGAGACUGGAAUUCCUGGUGUAGCGGUGAAAUGCGCAGAUAUCAGGAGGAACACCGGUGGCGUAGGCGGGUUUCUGGGCAGUAACGGAGGCUGAGGAGCGAAAGCAGGGGUAGCGAACAGGAUUAGAUACCCUGGUAGUCCAUGCCGUAAACGGUGGGCGCUAGGUGUAGGGGUCUUCCACGGCGGCUGUGCCGUAGCUAACGCAUUAAGCGCCCCGCCUGGGGAGUACGGCCGCAAGGCUAAAACUCAAAGGAAUUGACGGGG